UACGAGGGGUGCAAGCGUUAUUCGGAAUGACUGGGCGUAAAGGGUGCGUAGACGGUAUAUUAAGUCUGUUGUUAAAUUCUUCGGCCUAACCGAAGUCAAGCGAUGGAAACUGGUAUUCUGGAGGGUGAAAGAGAGGAGUGGAAUUCUCGGAGUAGCGGUAAAAUGCGUAGAUCUCGAGAGGAACACCAAUGGCGAAAGCAGCUCCUUGGUUCACACCUGACGUUGAGGCACGAAAGCGUGGGGAGCAAACAGG
rnacentral:rRNA from 1 species